rnacentral:rRNA from 1 species
GUGCCAGCAGGCGGUAAUACCGGCAGCCCGAGUGAUGGCCGAUCUUAUUGGGCCUAAAGCGUCCGUAGCUGGCCGCGCAAGUCCAUCGGAAAAUCCACCCGCCCAACGGGUGGGCGUCCGGUGGAAACUGUGUGGCUUGGGACCGGAAGGCGCGACGGGUACGUCCGGGGUAGGAGUGAAAUCCCGUAAUCCUGGACGGACCGCCGAUGGCGAAAGCACUUCGAGAAAACGGAUCCGACAGUGAGGGACGAAAGCUAAGAUCGCGAACCGGAUUAGAUACCCUUGUAGUCC